ensembl:snoRNA SNORD79 Small nucleolar RNA SNORD79
UACUGUUUAUGAUGAUUGUUCUUAACACAAUGGGAAUCUCUCUGAAUUAACCUGAAAGACAUCUUUGUACUGAAACAGUA